rnacentral:rRNA from 1 species
GAUGAACGCUGGCGGCGUGCCUAACACAUGCAAGUCGAACGAAGCACUUUAUUACGAUCCCUUCGGGGUGACGAUUUUGUGACUGAGUGGCGGACGGGUGAGUAACGCGUGGGAAACCUGCCCUAUACCGGGGGAUAACAGUUGGAAACGACUGCUAAUACCGCAUAAGCGCACGAGAUGGCAUCAUCUAGUGUGAAAAACUCCGGUGGUAUAGGAUGGUCCCGCGUCUGAUUAGCUAGUUGGUGAGGUAACGGCCCACCAAGGCGACGAUCAGUAGCCGACCUGAGAGGGUGACCGGCCACAUUGGGACUGAGACACGGCCCAAACUCCUACGGGAGGCAGCUAGUGGGGAAUAUUGCACAAAUGGGCGAAAGCCUCUGAUGCAGCGACGCCGCGUGAGCGAUGAAGUAUUUCGGUAUGUAAAAGCUUCUAUCAGCCAGGGAAGAUCAUGACGUAC